UUGACGGGGCCGCACAAGCAGUGGAGCAUGUGGUUUAAUUCGAAGCAACGCGAAGAACCUUACCAGGUCUUGACAUCCCUGACAACCCGAGAGAUCGGGCGUUCCCCUUCGGGGGACAGGGUGACAGGUGGUGCAUGGUUGUCGUCAGCUCGUGUCGUGAGAUGUUGGGUUAAGUCCCGCAACGAGCGCAACCCCUAUGUUAGUUGCCAUCAUUCAGUUGGGCACUCUAGCGAGACUGCCGGUAAUAACCGGAGGAAGUGGGGAUGACGUCAAAUCAUCAUGCCCCUUAUGACCUGGGCUACACACGUGCUACAAUGGUUGGUACAACGAGUUGCGAGUCGGUGACGGCGAGCUAAUCUCUUAAAGCCAAUCUCAGUUCGGAUUGUAGGCUGCAACUCGCCUACAUGAAGUCGGAAUCGCUAGUAAUCGCGGAUCAGCACGCCGCGGUGAAUACGUUCCCGGGCCUU
rnacentral:rRNA from 1 species